CGUAGGGUGCAAGCGUUAAUCGGAAUUACUGGGCGUAAAGCGUGCGCAGGCGGUUAUGCAAGACAGAUGUGAAAUCCCCGGGCUCAACCUGGGAACUGCAUUUGUGACUGCAUGGCUAGAGUACGGUAGAGGGGGAUGGAAUUCCGCGUGUAGCAGUGAAAUGCGUAGAUAUGCGGAGGAACACCGAUGGCGAAGGCAAUCCCCUGGACCUGUACUGACGCUCAUGCACGAAAGCGUGGGGAGCAAACAGGAUUAGAUACCCUGGUAGUCCACGCCCUAAACGAUGUCAACUGGUUGUUGGGAGGGUUUCUUCUCAGUAACGUAGCUAACGCGUGAAGUUGACCGCCUGGGGAGUACGGCCGCAAGGUUG
rnacentral:rRNA from 1 species